rnacentral:rRNA from 1 species
AACGAACGCUGGCGGCAGGCCUAACACAUGCAAGUCGAACGAGUAAGAGCCGUAGCAAUACGGAGUUCUGCUAGUGGCGCACGGGUGAGUAACGCGUGGGAACGUGCCUUGGAGUUCGGGAUAACAGUUGGAACUUGAGCUAAUACCGGAUGUGCCCUUCGGGGGAAAGAUUUAUCGCCAUUGGAGCGGCCCGCGUCUGAUUAGCUAGUUGGUGAGGUAAAGGCUCACCAAGGCGACGAUCAGUAGCUGGUCUGAGAGGAUGAUCAGCCACAUUGGGACUGAGACACGGCCCAAACUCCUACGGGAGGCAGCAGUGGGGAAUCUUGCGCAAUGGGCGAAAGCCUGACGCAGCCAUGCCGCGUGAAUGAUGAAGUC